GACGAACGCUGGCGGCGUGCUUAACACAUGCAAGUCGAACGGAAAGGCCCCUUUGGGGGUACUCGAGUGGCGAACGGGUGAGUAACACGUGAGUAACCUGCCCUUGACUUCGGGAUAACUUCAGGAAACUGGGGCUAAUACCGGAUAGGAAUCCUUGCUGCAUGGUGGGGGUUGGAAAGCUUCGGCGGGUUUGGAUGGACUCGCGGCUUAUCAGCUUGUUGGUGGGGUAGUGGCUUACCAAGGCUUUGACGGGUAGCCGGCCUGAGAGGGCGACCGGCCACAUUGGGACUGGGGUACGGCCCAGACUCCUACGGGAGGCAGCAGGGGGGAAUAUUGCACAAUGGGCGGAAGCCUGAUGCAGCAACGCCGCGUGCGGGAUGACGGCCUUCGGGUUGUAAACCGCUUUCAGCAGGGGCGAAGCUUGUGGUGACGGUACCUGCAGAAGAAGCACCGGCUAACUACGUG
rnacentral:rRNA from 1 species